rnacentral:tRNA from 1 species
GGGCGGUUGGCGCAGUUGGUAGCGCGCUUCCUUGACACGGAAGAGGUCAUCAGUUCAAAUCUGGUAUCGCCCACCA